rfam:Lupinus angustifolius cultivar Tanjil contig_23867, whole genome shotgun sequence.
GUUGGCAAUUGAUGUUAAAAAAUAUUAUCUUACACUGAUUAUAUGUGAAGAUAAAAACUCCGCUUAUUAUCUGAUGCCUUC